rnacentral:rRNA from 1 species
CUAACUACCGCAUAAUGCAGCGGCUCGACAUCGAGACAGCUGUUAAAGGAGCAAAUCCCGUCCUUUUUGAGCAGCCUGCGGCAGAUUAGCUAGUUGGUAAGGUAAUGGCUUACCAAGGCUACGAUCUGUAACCGACCUGAGAGGGUGGUCGGUCACACUGACACUGAAUAACGGGUCAGACUCCUACGGGAGGCAGCAGUCGGGAAUUUUUGGGCAAUGGGCGAAAGCCUGACCCAGCAACGCCGCGUGAAGGAUGAAGUAUUUCGGUAUGUAAACUUCGUAAGAAUAGGAAGAAUAAAUGACGGUACUAUUUGUAAGGUCCGGCUAACUACGUG